rnacentral:rRNA from 1 species
GACAGAGGGUGCAAACGUUGUUCGGAAUUACUGGGCGUAAAGCGUGUGUAGGCGGUGAGGUAAGUCAGGUGUGAAAGCCCAGAGCUCAACUUUGGAAGUGCACUUGAUACUGCUUCGCUUGAGUACUGGAGAGGCUGGUGGAAUUCUCGGUGUAGAGGUGAAAUUCGUAGAUAUCGAGAGGAACACCUGUGGCGAAGGCGGCCAGCUGGACAGAUACUGACGCUGAGACACGAAAGUGUGGGGAGCAAAC